AGAGAGAGCAGCAAUGACCUGUCCAAUAUCAAUCGCUGGGUUGAGGGAGAAUCCAAGGUCUAGGAUAAUGUCUGCUCUCCUAGUAUGGAAAUCGCCUGUCAAUGUGUCAAUUUCAACUUCGGAAAAUGCAGCGCCAUAGGUGAAGUACCUAAACGGACUGCCUUUUCCAGAUUUCCAGUCAAAGUCAAUAUCAGGUGUAAUGUAGAACCCAUGAGCAGAAAGAUCUAUUCUCUCGAAGAAGCACGCACUGACAAGCUGAUAUUUAAUCAAAAAACAAGACAUCAAGUCAGCAGUUAAUUGUUUUUCUAUUAUCAUCAUGAAAGUGCUAUAGAAAAAGACAAAGUGCAAUAUUUCAGAGUCAGUUUUGAGGUACAAGUAAAAUAUAAGACAUAUAAUAAAGGUUUACAUUGGACCAUGAGGGAAGAUACAAAAUGCUUGCGGUGUUAUCAAUCUGAACAAGGUAUUAUAUACAGUGCAAUUAUGGAACAAUAUGCCACAGAAAGGUAAUGAGCUUGCUCGGGAAAUGAAAUAAACCAUGAAGAAAACCUUACUGCUCCAUUGCAAAAAAUCUUUCACAAAUUCUCUUUUGCAGAUACUCAGCCUUUUUUGAGUUUUUUCUAAUUUAAUGUUUCAAUUCCCAAGAUUACGAUGAAUUAUGAAUAUACUGAAUAUGUGGUCUUGCUAAAGGCAGUGGUGUACACAUAAUCGAAGGAAUAAAGCAGACGGGUGAGGUGAAAAUACUUUUUUCUUUAAAAAUUGAGCUUUGAGAAAGUCACUCAUUGAUCCAGCCUUCCAAUAAUCUUGUAACUAGGAAUGUCAUGAUUCAUGUCCCACUCUCUUGCUACAUGCCCAUGUUGCUAAGUGUUUCAUCUGCUGCCAUAAUCACUGCAUCUUAUGCAAAACACUGUGUAUCCUCCUAGAUGGACAAGUCCCUUCUUCGUCUGUUACUAAGUACCUCCAUUUUCAUGGUUUAAAAUGUAUUGCAUGCCUAGUUCAACUGACACGAGGUGUGACAAAACUAAAUUUUGACUUCAAGUGCAGGAGGUACGGUUAUUUCAGAACUUGAAAGCAAUAUACAUGGUGCAGUCAACGUCUUAACUCUCUCUUUUGGUUUUUGGUGGGGAGGAGGGGAGGUCAUACCUUUGCAUCAACUUCUUACCAUUUAGCGUUUUGUUCUCUUCUGACGUUGAAUUAUUUCCACCUUCCGUUUCUUCGCUUACCAUCUAACAAAUAUUCAUCUUAGGCCACUACAUAAUUUGUUGUUUUUUGAUAUAAGGACUCUUAUUGGACCUCCCAUGGCUCUGAAAAAGCUGUAAGCAGUAAACACCACUUGUAAUUAUUCAUAUAUCCUUGUGAGUUUUCUACACUCAUGCAACUCCCUUAGACUCUUUUUCCUUGUCCUUUAAUUAUAUGGAAAUAGGCAAUAAGCCUGGUCAAACACUAUCCCAUGCAAGGCUAUGCUUGAAGAGAUGCCAGAUGCAUGCACUGUAGACUAAUAAUGCCUAGAGAUUAGUACCUCCUCACAGAGCAUGUGGCAUUUGCAUCCCUUCUUUUCAUUAAAGUGCAUAUCUACUAAUCGCUAGUUUCUGUUCCUUGAACUUCUCAAACUCAACUUAGUCAGGUAAAAGAAAAAAGAUAACAGAAACAUAAGAUCUUCAAUACUCUGAUGAACUUCAAAGAUAAAUUAUCUUCUUCCAAAUGAUAUACGCCGUAUCAUCUUCUUCACAAUUGGUGCCUAACCCUGAAGAAGUGUGAAUUUCACACAAGGAGUUACUGUAGGAAGAAACCAUCAUUUGGUGGUUACAAUCAAAAUAAUUUGAAGGUGGGAAAAGAAGGUGUAUCAGGGAAUAUGCAUAUAUCCCUUUUUAUCUGAAAAAUGAGGUCAGAUUAGAGGUAGUAUUCCAUAAGGAGAAAAAGAGAGUAUGAUACGGAUCAAGCAAAAUGGAGAAAGGAAAGACAAGUAAAGGAAAAUGAAACAGACAAUAUGAUAGGGAUGAUCACAAGCCACAACUGAUUUGAACAGCCCACCAUGUACCUAUUAGCCCAUUGAAUUAGAGAAAUUCACGAGUAGCGUAUUUUAUCAUUUCAUCCUCAAAACACAAGUCAUACACAUAUUUCAAAUGAUAGACAAGCAAGUCAGGCAGAUUAAAAAUGAAAUAAAACAGAUAUCAAAUCAAAAAAAUUACUUCAAAGCCAGCACAAAAAGAAAGACCUCCUCAAAAGAGCUGAAGUUAGACUUGGAUGCAAUAGGCUCCAUCCGUGCUUUUAUUUGCUCGCAUGCAUCCAAUACUGCAGCUCCAUACAUGUCAGAACUUGCAGAAGCAGCUGUUGGUGAAGCAUUAGGUACCUAGAUUGGCAAGAAAACUAGAUGAGGCAGGUAAUAAUAUUUUUCAUAAUCUGCAAACAAAAUUGACAUGCAACACAAGGAAUUUGAAUAAAACAAUAUGAUGUGCUAGAAGAAAUAUCCACACACACACACACCCCAAACCAAGCAAACCACCGCUUGGCUGAGGAAGAUCAGUUUCAAUUAUUUUAGGUAGCAAGUGAAGGCAGUAUCUAAGUUCAACAUUUACAGACCGAGUAAAUUCAAGUUUUAUAUUGGUUAUUAUGGAAGGGGAGCCUUGGCAUAAGUGGUAAAGUUAUUGCCAUGUGACCAGUAGGUCACGGGUUCGAGCUGUGGAAACAGCCUCUUGCAGAAAUGCAAGGUAAGGUUGUGUACAAUAGACCCUUGUGCUCCUGCCCUUCCCCGAACCCGCACAUAGCAGGAGCUUAGUGAACCGGGCUUCCCUUUAUUGGCUAUUAAGUUUCUGGUUUAACUCAUUUUCUGUCAUCGCCAUCUAGUACAUGCCUAACCUUUCUGUCGUUGCAGCUAAUAUUUUUUGAUAACUCAUCCCAGCUAAUAUUAGAAUAUAACAAGAAUUAUGCCAUGUGAUUCCGAUGUAUCCUUUCAGUUUGUUCACCAAUAGAAGAAUAGAAGCUUCAAACAAUGAUAUAAUGAUAUUCGUCUCACACUCAAUACCUUGUCAGUACUUGUGUCUGAAAUGAAUACUGCACUUAGAGGGAUGUUAAAGGAAGAUGCAGCAAUCUGAGCAACUUUUGUAUGUAAACCUUGGCCCAUCUCAACACCCCCAUGAGUGACCAACACUGUUCCAUCUGUGUAAACUUGAACAAGAGCACCUGCCUGUAGUCAAUCAGUCAGUGAAUAACCAACUUAAGCUUUUGGGAUUACAACUUUUCAUAGAGCUAAAAUUAUGAAACAAUCAGCAUCGAAAAAGGUGUUGUUUCUGAAGAACAUGAACCUAUAUCUCCUGUAGAACUAUUCACAUCUACAUACUAACUUAUUCAGGUGCUCCUCACCUCUACCACUUGCAUUUUGUAAAUUGCUUGAAAGAAUGAGAAAUGUGUGAUCAAUAGGAGUCUUAUUUUUUUAAUCACAUCUUGAAAAGGGGCUAUAGCCUGUCCUACACAGUAAAUGGAAUGCUUUUUAACCUUAUCUCAAAAGGAAGUGGAAAACUUAACCAAUUACAGAAGUCAGUCAGCGGCUGUUAUCAUGCUCAUAGGUACCAAAGAAAUAGCUUAAAUAUAUCCAGCCACCUGGGCUGGUUAGCAAAUCAUUGCUGAAAGCAGAGUAGAAUGAAGGCAAUACUUAAACUACUCACUACUCAAAGGAACAUGGACCUAACUAGGAACUUUAGGGUGUACAACAAAGACAAGAAUGUACCUGGUUCAUAGACUUAAAAGUGAAAGCUAUUCCAAAUUUGGUUGGCACCAUGGCAAUACCUCGCUUCUUCCAUCGAUUAUGGCGAUUGAAAGUUUCAACUUCAUUUUGAGCAUUAAUGAAGUCACAAGAAGAUUUCAAUUCAUCCCAGAGACGCCCCAAGGUACAGUCUUCAACUUUUUGACCAUAGUGCAAGACUGAUCCUUCACUGAUGAAAUUCAUUUCCUGGUGGAAAAAUGAAAAAUGAGAAAACAAUCCAUAUACAUCAUCAUCUACAGUGCUAAAGGAAGUGAAAAUGGUGAAGCUGCUGAUAUGCAUCACAUAUGAAAAUAGACUAUUCAGACAAUCAUCAGAAACACCAGGCAUACCUUUAUUUCUUCUGGGCUUUUGUUAACUUCCACUGCAAUCCUCUCUAUCCAAUUCUCAGCAAUUAGCAUACCCUGUGGGCCUCCAAAUCCUCUAAAAGCUGUAUUACUAGGAAAAUUAGUGAAACAUGCUUUUCCAUUAACCCUCACAUUUGGUAUUUCAUAGACAUUGUGUGAAUGGAACAUAGAACGUUCAAGUACAGCGGCUGAUAGGUCCAACGAAUUUCCAGCAUUAUUGUAGAUAUGAAGAUCCAAGGCAAGCACUUUCCCGGCAUUUGUAAAACCAACCUAACAAUAAUAGAGAAUGUUAACAUUGUUUCUCCAUAUUCAAAAGAAAAUGCUAAUAGAAAUCAGAACAGAAAAUGACGCAAACCAAUGCCUACCAAACACAUUAGUAAAACGAAUAAAACCAAAUGUUUCCCUUCCUAUCAUCCCUCCGCUUGAGGAGGCUUAUAUAGUCCAAUAAUCUAUAUCUGCUAAGUAUUAUACUGAUUGGUUCAUGUAACAAAAAACAGCACAACAGGCUGGGAAAGAACUUGUCGAGUUCGUAGCCUCGACUCUUCUCCAGUUGUUAUUACUCCACUACAAAAUCCAAUGCAAAUAAUGCCUAAAGAGUUUAUCUGUCUAUGCAGCCUAACAAUUCAAUGUGUUCAGUAAAUCAGAAAGUGUACAUAUCUGUUCAUCACAAUAUUUAUGAAACAUCUACCAUUUCGACAAUCCCAAAACAUUUGGCACACUCAAAUAACAAAAUCUGUUCACAGAUACUAGUUGCACUAAUUCAAAUUUAAACUACAAUAUCAUGUGUUUCCCACAAAUGCUUGAGCAAUAAACACCGCAGAAGUGAGUGAGUUAAACAAGCUUUCCCAUGCCAUCCAAAUGUUGCAUAGAUUGAGUUUAGCUGUGUAACGUGCUUUUGUUAACUUCCACUGCAAUCCUCUCUAUCCAAUUCUCAGCAAUUAGCAUACCCUGUGGGCCUCCAAAUCCUCUAAAAGCUGUAUUACUAGGAAAAUUAGUGAAACAUGCUUUUCCAUUAACCCUCACAUUUGGUAUUUCAUAGACAUUGUGUGAAUGGAACAUAGAACGUUCAAGUACAGCGGCUGAUAGGUCCAACGAAUUUCCAGCAUUAUUGUAGAUAUGAAGAUCCAAGGCAAGCACUUUCCCGGCAUUUGUAAAACCAACCUAACAAUAAUAGAGAAUGUUAACAUUGUUUCUCCAUAUUCAAAAGAAAAUGCUAAUAGAAAUCAGAACAGAAAAUGACGCAAACCAAUGCCUACCAAACACAUUAGUAAAACGAAUAAAACCAAAUGUUUCCCUUCCUAUCAUCCCUCCGCUUGAGGAGGCUUAUAUAGUCCAAUAAUCUAUAUCUGCUAAGUAUUAUACUGAUUGGUUCAUGUAACAAAAAACAGCACAACAGGCUGGGAAAGAACUUGUCGAGUUCGUAGCCUCGACUCUUCUCCAGUUGUUAUUACUCCACUACAAAAUCCAAUGCAAAUAAUGCCUAAAGAGUUUAUCUGUCUAUGCAGCCUAACAAUUCAAUGUGUUCAGUAAAUCAGAAAGUGUACAUAUCUGUUCAUCACAAUAUUUAUGAAACAUCUACCAUUUCGACAAUCCCAAAACAUUUGGCACACUCAAAUAACAAAAUCUGUUCACAGAUACUAGUUGCACUAAUUCAAAUUUAAACUACAAUAUCAUGUGUUUCCCACAAAUGCUUGAGCAAUAAACACCGCAGAAGUGAGUGAGUUAAACAAGCUUUCCCAUGCCAUCCAAAUGUUGCAUAGAUUGAGUUUAGCUGUGUAACGUGAUCAUAAACUCAUCUAUUUACCUUGUACUUCCCAAGAAAGCUAUGUCGCUGCCCCAUUAUCAUCAUGUCUAUAUCCCUAUCCAGAAUAAUUUUCACUGGACAAUCCAGCAGGUAUGAUGGAACUGCCGCAGCACAAGCAAGCAUAGCAGACCUAGUCUCCUUGCCUCCAAAUCCACCACCUAUCCUUUUGGUCUUGCAAACCACUUUUGACAUCGGAAGACCAAGAACAUGAGAGACAUACUUCUGGUGCUUCUGAGGAGCCUGCAAGAUAGACAAUGAUUGGGACACCAAAUUAGAAGCACAGAUAUUCUUCCUUUCCAAACAAGUAAAUUACAGAGAUGUAGCAUCUUAAACUGGAUAUUGACCUAAUCCACAUGUCAAACUAAACCCAUCUAACAGCAUAAUAUUGAUCUCUAAGAAACCAAUAGUUAUCUAGAACCGAAAUCAUAAAAACAACUCAUGAUUAUUUCAAACUGACACCAAACUUAGAUGACUAUGUUUGAUCACAUAUAUAUCAUGUGAGUCUGAGAAGAAAGAGUAAGUAGAGAAAAGCUAAGAACUUUAGGAGGUUAGCUUUGCUAUUUCUAGUUAAAACUAAGUUUUGCAAACCUUUUCGAUUUUGCGUCAAAAAUUUAAAACAGCAGUCACAAAAUAAGCUUAUAAAAAAGCAAUCGAUGUUCUAAUAUGUGUAAUCUGAGAGUUUCAAAUACUGAAAACACAUGCAGGAUACAUGUUUUUUCUAAACAAGCUCUAUUAUAAAUUGCAGUUUGGGCGCAAGAGCAACUUAUUAACUGAAAUUGAGUUCCAUGAUAUGAUCAAGGCUUUGGCAACUCAAUGGCAGAUGGCACUUCCCCUUAUUACCACUUCUUUUAAUGAUUAUAUUAACACUUACAUCUAAACAAGCAAACCACGAGAAGAAGAAAAAGAUACAACACCAGAAUUAAUGCCCUAUAAACCUACAUAUACUUGAGGAACUAAGAGAGAAUGGCUAGAUUUAUGUUUGAAGUACCUGGGUAGAUGAGAUCAUGUGCACCUCAUUCCCUCUAUCCACUGUCCAUAUAAAAGUGCCAUGAGGCUCCAAAUAGAAAUGUUCUUGACCACCUACCCUAACUUCUCCUUCUAUAAUACUGUCACAUUGACCUGACUGGAAACACUGUUCAACAUCACCCUUUGUCAUACACCUUUCCGUAUUUGGAUGAUAACUGUUGGCCUGUAUAGCAUCCUCUAUCGAUAAAAUUGCAGGUAACUCCUCAUACUCAACAUGAACCUUUCUAGCAGCAAGUUUUGCAUUUUCAUGUGUGUCAGCUACAACCACUCCAAUAACCUACAAAUAUUCACCCAGACAAUAAUAGGUAGCUAUGAAAAAACAGUUGAAAUUAUAGUCAUUCCCAAAUCAAAACCUUAUUACAAGUCUACCUCACUUAACAUCGCAAGAGAAGCCAGUUUAUUCUGAAUAUUAACCUAAUAUAGUGUACAGAUUUUGUGCAUGGAGAGAACAUCUCAGAAUAUACCAUCAUACCUGACCCACAGAAGUGACAAACUCUGUGGCAAAAAGUUCUUCAUCAUGAAUAACUGGUCCAAUCAUAUUGUUACCAGGUACAUCUUUGGCCAAAAAGAUACCUGCAAAUCCAGGAGAGGACCUGGCUCCCAAAUCAUCUAUCGAAAGUAUACGAGCAUGAGGUUUUUUACUCAAUAUCAGAGCAGCAUGCAAACUAUUGGGUGGCAUUGGCGCAUCAUCUGUAUAUUCGGCCUCUCCAGAAACCUGAAAAUGGUCAAGUUUAUCAGCCAAGAUAUAAGUGGCAAUUUUGGCCAAACAGAGCCACUAAAAGGACAGAUAUUUCAUCAGAAUGCCAGCUCAAAAUAAUAAAACACUUUUCAAAAGUUCCAAUUUCCUAUGCAUAGACAGAGCUGUACACUAUAGAUUUUGCAAUCAUAGAAAUACCUUCCUUCUCAAAAGAGAGAGUACCAGAGCAAAAUAGAAGCAUUAAAGGGACCCAAUGUUGUUGAUUGGAAAUUAAUAACAAUACAGUUAUCCAUUUAGUUACUAGAUCCAAGAAUUUUAAAGGGAACCAAUGUUGUUCAUCUCUAGAAAUACGCUCCUGCACAAGCCAGAAAAUAUAUAAACUGGAGAAAGUAGAAAGUGACACCAUGUCCCCCUAUGCUGUUAGUACAGAUUCAAUCCUAAUACAUACAACAAGAAGGAGGAGCAGCAAGGAACUAAAAACCCAAAAUUCACUUUUUCAUGAACCAACAACAAAUGUAUCUUUUAUGUGCUUCUUCUUCAUCAGAACUGUGGAAGUCAAAGAUUAGCUAUAUUCAUGAACUCCAUUAGCACAAAGGCCAUUCCAGCCCUUACGUCAAUUAUGGCGUAAGAAUUAGUGCCAUGCUAGGAGGUCAAGAAGUCUUUAAGCAUUUAGCAGUUGCUUCUUGUCUGUCCACAUGCAAUCUAGGAUUUUGUGGAAUUAUCAUCUUCCAAAUCUGAACAGUUCAGGAAUAGACAUCAAUAAAUAUUGCAUAAUUAUCAAGCUAUGAAUGUUGUUACCUGAAGCCUUGAUGAAAUAUGAACUUCAGGGGAACCCACAGAAGUACCAUGCCUCCUGAUCUCAAAAUCCUGAAUUGAACUAACGGAUGGUCGAAGAGAUGAAUCUACAGCUGAAAUAUGCGAAGCUGGAACUUUCUCAAGAAAUAAUGGCUGUCCAUCCAUUUGAUGACAAACCCACAAGAAAAAUUUGAAGAAGAAGCUAAAUGUUAAUGAUUUUCGAAAUUCAACCAUCCCACCAGGUGCAUCUUCUUUCAGCACAAUUUCCUUCUCCAGAAUUUUCAAAGAAUCCUGUAGCAGCUCUUUGUUCCAACUUUUCCCGAUUAAGAAGUCACUAGUUUUUGAUGCAGCAAAUGAAAGUGGAGCAACCCCACCAUAUACAAUCAAAGCAUCUGAAACUACCCAUUUCUUGUCCUUCUCUUCAAGGCAGACACGCAUUCCGGCAUUGACGAUGGCAAUAUCAUCAUCUCUCCUAUGAGAUUGUUUAAAUUCUUUCACAAACUCGAAUGGCUUAUUCCAAGGCAAUGAUACUGACAGUAAAAUUUCACUACUUGUCAGAUCCACUUUACGAUAGCCCCGGAAGAAAUUUUUAGCCAGACAUGUUCUGACAUUUCCUUUGCAGUCAAUUAUUCGAAACUUCGCUCCUGUUGCCAUCCAAAGAGGGUUCAAAUCUGAUAUUGGGCUCGCAGUGCAGAUAUUCCCACCAACUGAUGCAACAUUUCGUAUUUGUGUUCCAGCAAACCACUUUAUCUGUUCGAUGAGAGCUCGACAUGAUGAUGUUUCGUACUCGGGGCGGUUAUUUCUUACCUUCUUUAAUACAUCCACAAGCUGUGACAACUUAACUCCAGCACCUAUUUCUAAGCCAUCAUCCUCAACACUUAUAUGGUUAAGUUCCGGAACAUGUGCAACAGAUAUUAAUAUAGGAUAGUGAAUACCUUUAAGCCUGACUUCAAUUCCCACCUCUGUAUUUCCAACAACUAACCGGGCAUCUGGAAAUCUUGCUUUUAAAUCCAACAGAUGUUGAAAUUUUACGGGCCUAUACCACUUCCGUCCAUUUGAUCCACUUAAACUUAAAUAAGUCAAUUUCCUUAAUAAAAGUUCAGGAGGAAAAAUAAGUUCUUUGCUGGUGUAUGUGGUUCCAUCGGUUUCGUUGUAAGAAAACGGCUUCCAGCCACAAUCAUUGCUUAAAUUUUGUUUGAUGGUUUCUUCACUAUUUUCAGCCUUCGGCCCACAUGAACAAGGCUUACCCGUUGAAGGACAAAUAAAUUCACCAGUAUUAAUGUCUUGUAAAGAUGUGUUGGUGUAUAAAGCAUUAUUUGUUUUUGCAAAUACCCGAAAUGCGUCAACAAUUGGCCUAUAACCAGUACAUCGACAUAAAUUUCCGGCAAGGCUUUCUUCAAUUUGUUCUUCUGUAGGCUGUUCUUUAGAUGAUCGUAGUAAUGCAUACAUGGACAUGACGAAACCAGGAGUACAGAAUCCACAUUGUGAACCAUGCGAGCGAGCCAACGAUUCCUUUAGAAUGUCGUUGAAAAGCAGAGGAGUUACAAGAAUGUUGCAUACAUCAUGAUCCAUAAAAGGUACUAUUUGAAUUAACAAAUGACGUUGAAAAAACAUGCGAAAAUCAUGGGACAUGUGAAACCAACUAAUGUACCUGAAUUGGGUGCAAUCCAGCUUUGCGGUUCCCAAUUCCCUCCACUGUGAUGACAUGCAUCCCUUCCACAGAAUAUAGAGGAGCCAAGCAUGCAUUUACUGCAUGGUGCCUAUAGAGAAAAUACAACUUUAUAAACUGAAUAUGAUUUAUGGAAAUUUUUAAUAGUCAUAUACUAACUGAAUGGGAGGGAUGCACUGGGGGCCAAUCAAAUCAAGCAGACUUCAAGUUUACCAAUUUAUUGCUUGCUAAUAAAUUAUUAUGAUUAUAUUCUUUUAUCUCUUAACUAGGGAUGGAAAAAUGGGUAAUUUAUAUGGGCACCUAUUCAAAUUACCCAUCUUAAAUGAGUUGGGUGCCCAUACAAAUUACCCAUCUUAAAUGAGUUGGAUACCCAACUCAUUUAAAAUGAGUAAAAAACGAGUCAAACUCAUUUUACCCAUUUAAAAGUGGGUAGUUAAAUGGGUAAAGGAGACUCAUUUAUAAAAGAAAGAAAAGUGACAUUAAUAUUUUUUUAAGGUGUAGGUGGUCGGGGUAGGGAUGGGUGGGAUAAGGAAAAAAAUCGUUUUUUUUUAAAACAAAUUUUUUUUUUGGAAGGGGCUGGGGAAGAGGGGUCGGAGUAGUAACAAAAAAUUCAUUUUUGAGGCGUUGGAGUUGGGGGUGGGGAUGGGCAGGUUAAAUUUAAAAAGUUUUGAGUAUUUUUGUUUGGGGGGGGGGGGCGGGCAGUGGGGGUGAGGUAAGAGAUUUUGCUUUUAAAGCUUUUAACAUGAUCCCUAUAUGGAUACCCAUAUUAUCCAUUGGGUAACUCAUUUUUACCCAUUUCAAAUAUGAGUCCAGUUGAGUAUUUUACCCAUUUUUAUACUUAUUUUCGAUCGACUCAUAUUCGACUCGACCAGCUCGUUUGCCAGUCCUACUCUUAACUAACCAUAUUUUUUGUUGAAGUGUGUGACCAUCUCAUCUAAAAGCUUUUGUCUGCUCUAAUACCAUGUUGAAGUGUGUUUCGAUCUCAUCUAAUAGCUUAAGCUGUUAGAGAGAACACACUUUAUAUUAGUUAAUUAUAUUCUCAACAUUUUUCAACUAGUUUCUCUGUACUCUCUUAGUCAAAUACAUUUGCCAAAGACUCGCAUCACCACCACUCCAACCAUCCCAACCAGAGAACUUAUAGCAGAAUAAGAUAUCAUCUCAAAGCCAGGAUAAGCAGUGUUACAGAAAGCUCAUGCUCAAUGGAUACUAGAAUGAAGACUAUAUAUCUAGCAUGAUAAUUGUUCAUUUCAGGUUUCAGUAGUAGCGGUCUCAUAUUUUUUCUCGUGGUGGUGCUUUCUUUUGGGCAUGGGGCUUACGUACUUGUCAAGGAUUCACAUAGUAAUCAUAAGAAAUAUGGAUGCUUUAUUCAUUUUUUAAGUAACCUUCCCAACUGACUUCUAGGUUAAACUAGUAUUAGGUCAGGCCAACGCCAAAGGGUUCACAACCUGUAACUAGUCUGCUAGAACAGAUACAGAGUGAUAAGGUCUCUGAACUUUCCACCUCCCCGAUUCUAAAGAAAGCUUGUUUCGUUCGUUGAAGGAUACAAAAUCAAUUGAGGAUAAAGAACAUUUAUUCAAUCAGCAGCCAUCUUCUAGAACUAUGCGGAGAGCUAUCUGCUAUCCAUCUUGACAGCUAUCAUACUUCUUUAGAUGUUAAACAGACAUCAGUUUACAGGAAUGAAAACGUAUCUCCUACAAUUACCGAAGACCCACCUAACUGACUUCCUCCGCUCAUGCAUGGCUGAGUAACAGACAAACAAAUAGUACUAAGAGCGACAGAAGUAAAAGGAUGACAAAGGCGAAAGCUUUACUGCCUGAUACAAUCAAUAACUUCAUUCCCUACCACCCAAAAUGAAAGUGAGUAACAAUUUGGGGAUUCAAAAACUAACGAGAAAGAUCUCAGCUCUCAGAGUAAUCACACAACUGAUCAGAAGAAAAACAUCCCACAGAUCAAGACAUGGAUCACACCUAUCCAGCACAAAUUAUAACCCAUGCAAAUGCAAACAAGUGCAGAACUCAUUGCUAUCCACUAAAUCAUGCAUAAACCUGCACACCCCAAAAGAAGAUAUAAGAGAGACUUGGAGACGUAGGUGGAUAGAGAUGGAAAGAGACUCACACACAUUUCUUCAAAUUCUGAUCAAAAAAAGAAACCAUUACAGUGCAUGCCCCACACCCACCUUCACCACAGCCUAGCUUGGUGCCUGUCAGGCCUAUUUCUGCAUAGCCACAGAGAAAGAGCAACUUCAGAUAAACCACCAAAACACAAUCAGAGAGAGACUGAGAGGAUAAAAUCCAGAUCAAUCAUCUGAACAGAAAUAAAAACUACAACUUCCUGAAGUAUUGGGCAACAUAGACUCGUAAGAGGUGUAGUGAGUUCUCAAGACAAUGUAUAAAACAUAUUCAUUAAAAAGUACCAACAACUGCAUAAAAGCUACAGAUUGGCAGCAACUCGAAAAUGGACUCAACAAAUUUUUAUCACUAUAUGUAUACAACUGCAUAACUAAAGGGUAAGUACAAACACAUCAAUUGCUCAGCCAGCAAGCCACAAACUGUAUGAAAAUGGAGAUUGAAUUGAUCAGAUGAUGCCCAAGUCUAACGAAUAGAAAAGUGAGAGAAGGAAGUAAUUGGUUGUUAAUGUUGAAAUAUACAAAAUAUAUGUACUGAACAAUAAAGGUCUUAAGAUCCAACCUGCACCAAUUUACAAGAUCAAACACCAGCAGAAGUUAAGACUACAGAAAAUAUAAUUAACUGUAUGUCACUGAACAGUUGGAAGUCAUCCCGGUACGUCAACAUUAGCUAACCCACUAAUAUUACUAUUUAAUAUAAGGGACUAUCACAAACUUCUGUCAUACUCUCAAUAACACAUAUCUACUAUCUACAUCUUUUUUUAUAAAUAUAAUUUUCGAAUAAUUCUUCCUCCUCUUGAUCCAAUCUUUUAAAGUUACUUCACCUAUCAUCCUUGGUAAUGGUCAACUUUUUCAAAAGCACGCGAACUCCUCAAUCUCCUGCUUACAGCAUGUUUGAUCAAUUUUGUAAAAAUCUGUUAACUUUGAAAAAUAUUUUCUAUUUUUUUAUAGUAAUAAUUUGUAUUCGGCUAAUCAAAUUUACUUUUACCAAUAUUAAAACAGUAAUUUAUGCUUGAUAAAGUUUCCGAAAAUGCUUCUGGGAAUUUUUAAACUUUUGGAAAAUAUCUUCUGUUACUAUUCAAAAACGCUUAUUUUGCUCCUAUAAGCUAUAUAAAUCACCUAAACUCUCUACAAUAAGCACUUUUAAUUCUUGGAACUUAGCCAAACACGUUUUCAAUCUUCCUUGUCAUUUUCUACUUAAGACAUAUCAAGUUGUCUUUAGUAGUGUACAACUACUAUCACUCAAUCAAAAGUCAGUGCUCUACUUUUUUUAAAAGCUACUAUUCCUUCAACUUAUCUCUACAUACUACCUCCAUUUUGAUUUGUUUGUCAGAUAUUAACUUGGAAAUUCUUCCGGGCCACGUAAGUGGAUAAAGCACAGAGUACCAGAGAGAACGUUAAGAAACCCGAAAAUAUACUAAACAUAUGAAAUCCACAGAUUAAACCUAGCUGGAGAAAGCAUAGUCCUUUCAGUAUUUAGAUUUACACUAAUAAAAAUUACCCAAAUUGAACAUUUACCAUAGAAACAAAACAGGAAUACAGCUCAGCACAAGUACGUCCAAGCUUAAUCAAAUCCCAAACUUGAAAAUUUGAGUUUUUAAAGUUAUGAUUUUCAAAAACCUGAUGUUGUCUGGACAUGCAUAUUAAAGUUUUAUGGACAAAAGUGAAAUUUCUCCCCAAAAACUGGCUUAAAGAUCAAAUUUUUAAUAUCUAAUCAAAUUUCAUGGUCAAUAUCUUGAUCCAAAAUCAAUAGUCAAAUGCCAACUUAGUUCAUUGUUCAUCUAAAACUGUUUCUGACAAGAAAAAAAGAGAAAAAACCCACAAAACUAAACUUAAAAACUAACCUCUAAGAUAUUCAAGAAGAGUCAAAUGGGCUAAUCCAUCAGGUAACACUCGACGAACUCCAUUAACAUACAAAAUUGCUUCCUUUGAUUCCUCUUCUAUCCUUUCCUCCUUCAUCAUAGAACCCAUUUUUUCCAGAAAAGGAAAAAAAAUCAGCGAUGAAAAAGUGUUGGGGUUUGAUUCGGCUAAAAAAAGAUCCAAUAAGUAUUAAGUAGUAGUAAGAGAUUUUGUUGUAGAAAUCAGAGUCGGUAUGACUACAAUUUUGUGGUUACCUAUUGUUUCAUAACUAUCAAGAUUUGUUGUGGAAAUUAGAGUCAACUUUCACUAAAUUUUUGUGUUAACGCUGUUAAGUAUUGUUUUAUAAUAUAUCUAAAUUUUGUUGUGGGAAUCAGAGUCAGCUUUCACUAGAACUUUGUUUGGAUGGCGGUUACAUAUUGUUUCAUAAUGUAUCUAGUAAGAUUUUUGUUGUAAAAAUCAGAAUCGGUUUCUACUAAAACUUUGUUUGUUUGGAUGGCGGUUACGUAUUGUCACAUAAUAUUACACAUUUAUAAUAUGAAUGGUAAAUCUGCCAAAAAAAGAAGGAUAUAGAGUAGAGCUACUAUGAAAACGUAAGAUAAAAUGAAAUAUGAUUAUUAAAUAUAAUAAAUAAAAGAAAAAAUGAGAAAAAAUAUAUUAAGAUAACGACAUAAUCAUUGUUACAUAAAUUGGAUUUUUUCAUCAUUACCUGGUUGAAUUUAAACGAUGCGAUACAAUAAAAUUUAAAUAACAAUUAAAAUAAAUAUUAUAUUUAAAUUAACAAUACAAUAUAAUACGUCUUAUAACAAUCAUCCAAAACAAGGGGUAAGAUGAUAGACACAAGCUACGUACUAUAUAUAGGGUUGGAUCAAUGAUUCCGAUAAGUAUUAUUAUUUAAUAUUAAGAGAUAAAAUACAAGGAAAAGGUUCUCUUCUUCUAAAAAUAACAGAUAAAAAUAAUAUAGGUUAAUUUCCUCCUUGAUUGAUAGUAAUGUUGUUAAAAAUAUGGUCAAAUGGAUGACCAUAACUCCUAGGUUUAUUUCUUUUGUUAUAGGUAGUAAUUCUCAAGGUUUAAUGUAAUAUUUAUGACACCCUUUGAUAUUCCUCAACAUAAUCCUAUAAAUAGUGGUGUUAAGAAUAAUGUUGAAUACACUCCAAGAAAGAAAGUUAUCUUAUAUUGUUCCUCUUGUCUUUUAUUUUUUUGUCUAAUCUUUAUAUUGUUCUUUUGUUCUUAAAUUUUACAACAUAUUAUUUAAUAUAGUUGACAAAUAAAAAUAAGGGAGAAAAGUAUGGUAUUUUAUUUUUUAAUCUUGUGAGAACAUGUUAGGUGAGAUUAUCUGAAUUAAAAAGUAAUUUGAUUGGAUCUUAUUAUUAAAAAAAAAUAGGAUAACUCUUUACCUCGUGAUGUUAAGCGUAUUAUUUUAAAUGUUAAAUUUCAGAAUUAUAAAUAAGUAUAUAAAUAAGUAUUAAUUUAAACAAAUUAAAAAAGGUAAGACACAUAAAGUUAUAAGAAAGUAUAUAAAAAAUAAAAACACUUCAACUAAAAUAACAGUCAAUUUUUAAAAUACUAUCUUCAAAUUUGAAAACUCAGCCAAAAUCAACUAGAAAUUCAUAUGAAAAGUAUAUGAAAAGUGGAAAGCUUUCGAAUCAAAAGUUGAAUUACGAUUUUAUCCAUACUAUAAAUUAAAAUAUUAUAAAAUAUCUAAGAAAUGAAAUAUUAAAUAGUACUUAUAUCAUAUUUAGAUAAUUCAUUUGUCAAUCAAAAUAGAAGACAAAAAAUGGUUCUUUCAAUUCUAACAAAAAUAAAAAAAAGGUCCAUAGAAUGUUUUUGAUUGUUUUGGAAACAUUUAUUUAUUAUUGAAAUUUAAUACAUUAGAUGUAUGGGUUACUAAUAGGGAUUUUAAAACGUCAUAAUUUCUUGUGUUGACCGUAAGUUUAUCUCUUUAAAUUUUUUUUCCUUAAUAUACUUUGUAUAAGCAUUUAGUAUAUGAAACUAAUUAAAAUAUAUUUUCCAUGUUAAUUUCUUUUGUUUUUUUUAAAAUAUAUUUUUAGACAGAUAGUUAUGGGAUGGGAGCCAUAAUUAAUUUAUAAUUUCAAAAUAUAGGUAUGAAUCAUACACAUAUAAUUUUGUAUAUGAAGAUUCUGCUGAAAAUUGUGUAAAGGUAAAAUUUUGAAUUAAUGAAAUCAAUAUUUGAUUUUGUGAUGUAUAUUUACGAUAACGAAAUUACUUAACAUAGCCCGUCUCCAAUUACAAUAAAGGAAUUACUCAAUCUAGCAAUCGAAAUGACUUAAGAACAUGUACCAAUGAUAUCAUCUCUAUAAUAUAUUAGGUGAGAUAUAUUUAAUUACAUGUUCUUACCUUAUUUAAAAAAAAAUCCGCAUGUUCCUAGUAAAAAAAUACUAUUUUUUUAUCUUAAUAAUAAAUACGAUAUUCAUGCAUUUUUACUGCAAAAACAACUCAUUCUAUAGUAAUUCAUAUCCAUUUUGCAUAUUAUUCUUUCAUGAUUAUUAUUUAAUGCAUACUAUAUUAUACAAGUCGAUAUAUAUGUUGCGUCGCGUGUUUUUCCAACUCAACAUUAUCAAAUGUCACAUAAGUUCGGUCAAUGGUCAUAGAGAUUUAAAACAUUGUGUUCUAAUGAGUUUAGGGAUUUAGUUGACAAAUUGAUAAGUAGGAAGGUCCAACUUACAAAUGUAGCCAAGUACAGAGCUCUCCCAGGUCAUUUUCAUAUAUAAAAACACACUACCCAAGAUAAUGAUAAUUAACUCUUCGAAAGUAAGUUUUUCACGUAAAAAUUUUUGAAAUGUUGUAGGGUCAUUUCUUCCAUUCAUAUAUUACAAGUGUUCGAAACAAUAAUGAAGCAUCUUUAUUACACGUUAUUAUAAAGUGUUGCAUAAUGUCACGGGAAAAUGUAAAGAAGACAUCAUAUGAAGCUCUAAGAACUUCACUUAUUCAGUACAGUUCAACCAUCAAACACUUAGCUUUGGGCGAAAAUCAGAAUCCACAACUAGUCUUGUAAAUUCAUCGGUACAAGCCAUUCGAAUACGCUCUGGAGUAGCUGGAUUAUCAAGAGGGAACCAGUCGUUGUAACCAGAUUCCAUCCUUGCAGAUUUUAUGGCAUUCGUGAUGGCGAAAAGGACAGAUGAUGCAAGAAAGAAGGGUGGUUCCCCUACUGCUUUAGAAAAAUGGAUAGCCUUGGCGUUUGGGGCAUUCUGUUGGCAAAUGUCAAGCAGAUUGUUAAAGGCAAAGUCAAGAUAUGGUGUGCAGAUGCAUAUGUACUUCCAAAUAGAAAUAGGGAUAUUAUUAUUGAUAAGCCGAAAAAUUAUUCAAGAAUAAAGGAACAACAAUAUAGUAGUUCAAGUACAAUUGUACUAGGAUUAUAAGCAGUUAAAGAAAUGGUGCAUAGCAGCUCAUUGAUGGAGAUAGCAGUGAAACUUACUUUCAAAAGAGAGACAUUAAAUUUGGAAGGUACAUCAUUCAAAUUGGAAUCUUGUAACUUCCAGGUCCAGAUGUGAAUAAGUAUCCAGGUGAAAUCCACUUGUGUGCUUUAUCGCCCCAUUUCAGCUCUUCUAAUGCAAACCAUCCCAGACCCUGUAGAAAACCUCCUUCUACCUGCAUCAAGUUUAUAAGGAGUAUGCACGAAUGUUAGCAAAACUCCAUUUCAGAUUGAAAGAUGCAAAGAUCCUGUGAGAUAGUGGUUCUAGUUCUAUCUAAAUAUAGACAAAACUGCAAGUCCGCAAAAGAGGGAGGUAAUGGUGUUCUACAAAAUGUAUCCAAGUCAUCUUUGUAGAUAUCAUACAUUAGGAGAAAAGAAGAAUAAAAUGCAGAUCUGAUAAUCCCUGUCAAGCUCAGUACAAACAAAUCGAGACCUUCUCUAAUUCCAGGAAAGGUAGGUAGGCAUUAGAAAUCGGAUCUCUGUUCUUUUUUCUUGUUUACCAUUCAAAAUGAAGAUUACUCAUACAUUACCUACACGUUGAUAGAUCUGAAAAAAGCCACAACUUGCAGCUUCAAUCAUCAAUCACUUCAGCAUUUACUACUCGAUAGUAUAGUUUUAAAUUCAUAUAGUUAAAUUAUUUCAUCAAGCAUACCAGUUAAACAAAUGACAAAAAUCAAAAUGUAUACAUAAACUGUACAGAGAGAACAACAAUGACCUGUCCAACAUCAAUCGCUGGAUUGAGGGAGAACCCAACAUCUACGAGAAGAUCUGCUCGCCUAGUAUGGAAAUCGCCUGUCAAUGUGUCGAUUUCAACUUCGGAAAAUGAAGCACCACUGGUGUAGUACCUAAAUACAUUGCCUUUUCCAGAUUUCCAAUCAAAGCCAAUAUCAGGUGUAACGAAGAACCCAUGAGCAGAAAGGUCUAUUCUCUC
rnacentral:lncRNA from 1 species